rnacentral:rRNA from 1 species
UACGUAGGGUGCAAGCGUUAAUCGGAAUUACUGGGCGUAAAGCGUGCGCAGGCGGUUUUGUAAGUCAGAUGUGAAAUCCCCGGGCUUAACCUGGGAACUGCGUUUGAAACUACAAGGCUAGAGUGUGGCAGAGGGGGGUGGAAUUCCACGUGUAGCAGUGAAAUGCGUAGAGAUGUGGAGGAACACCGAUGGCGAAGGCAGCCCCCUGGGAUAAGACUGACGCUCAUGUACGAAAGCGUGGGGAGCAAACAGG